CCCCCCAAACUCAAUCCCAGCGAACCCCAAACCCGGCCCCACCCUGGAGCCGCCCCCAGUGUUUGGGGAAUGGGGAACCGGGAAUUGAUGGAAUUCCUGGGAAAAGGGGAAAUUCCUGAGCAGCCAAAGUUUUAUUUCUAAAACCAUUUUUAUUUCUCAAAUUUUAAUUUCUAAAUCUGAAAGCUGCAGAGAGGGAAAUUCCCGGUGGGAAUCCUGCUGGGUUUUAUGGGAGCUGCUGCCCUCAGACCUCCCUGAGGGGGGAUUUGGGGUUCUGGAAAACCCCAGAAAUGCUGGAAAUCGUGGGAAAUGCUCUGUCCCCAAAGCUGAGCCUGGCAGCAAACCUGGCUUUACUUGGGAAUUAAACCUGGCUUUAAUUUUAUUGGGAAAUCCCAAAUGGAACAUUCCCCAAUUAGGGAAAACCCCAAAGAGCAAAGUCCAGCUGAAAUGACUGGAGUGGAAAUCCAGGAAAUCCCGAAUGGAACAUUCCCGAAUUAACCCAAGGAGCAAAGUCGUGGCUUUUCUUGGGAACUAAACCUGGCUUUCAUUUUCUUGGGAAUUAAACCUGGCUUUCAUUUUCUUGGGAAAUCCCAACUGGAACAUUCCCCAGUUAGGGAAAAAAACCCCGAGGAGCAAAAUCCUGCUGGAGUGACCUGAGUGAAAAUCUGGGAAAUCCCAAAUGGAAAAUUCCUGAAUUAGGGAAAAGCCCCAGGACUGGCCCGGGUGUCCCCAAGACCAGCCCAGUGUCCCCAGAGCUGGCCCAAGUGUCCCCAAGCCUGGCCUGGGUGUCCCCAAGGUGGCCUUGACUGUCCCCAAAGCUGGCCUAGGUGUCCCCAGGGAUGUCCUGGGUGUCCCCAAAGCUGGCUCAGGUGUCCCCAGGUGUCCUCCUGCUCCCGGUGUCCCACUCCGCUCCCGCCGCCCGCCCGGGGCUCGGGGGGGUCCCGGGGGUCCAUUCCCCCACACCGGGGGUCCUGGGGGUCCCGGGGGUCCGCGGGCUCCGGGGUCACCUGGGCACGGACGGGUCGGAACCGACGUGGCCGAGGAGGAAGAGCUCGGGGCGGGCGGCGAAGCCCAGGCGGCCCUGGGGGGGGAAGGCAACAAUUAAUGCCGGGGCUUAAUUGGGGAGGGCAACAAUUAAUGCCGGGGGUUUAAUUGAACCUGGCUUAAGGAAGAGCCAAAGAGAGCAGAAGGAAGCCCGAGGUGGUUGAAGGAAGCCUGAGCUCAGCCCGGUUUAACAAAGCCCAAGUGAAGCCCGGGUAAGGAAGACAGAAUGGAGGCCGGGUUAACAAAGCCACGAUUUAAUAAAGCCCCAACUGAGCCUGGUUUAACA
rnacentral:lncRNA from 1 species